GAUACAGGGCUGAAAACAAAGACAUCCAAACCUUGAGCCAUUUAGAAGAGGAAGAAGCCAAAAUCUCUGCCAGAGGUUUGACUGCUGGGUUUACUCAUGGCUUCAGGUUGGUUUCACGGGGCUUGGCCUGUUGGGAGGAUUUUCUGAGAAACAUCUGAAUAGCUGAUGGCUGAAUAGCUUCAGCGCUGACCCCCUGACCUGAGGGAGGUUUGCUGCUCACAGUAUUCCUGGAAUGACACAGGGGCUCCGUCUGGAGUCAGGCCAGGACAUUAAAUGAAGCUGCUUUUGUGGCACUUCUGCUUCUGAUGGCCGGAGGACAGACCUCCUGCAGGGAGAUGCUGUAUGUCUCUGCAGCGUUUGACUCUGUUGACCAUGACCUCAUGCUGGCCCUUGUUGAGGAGGGGGGUUGCAGACUGAUGGGGAAGGUAUGGAGGGACAUACCCUGUUCAUAGUGAUGUGAACAUGCACCCCCACUGCUAACUGUGGUGCUGUCCCACAGGGAUGUAUGCUUUUCCUUUUUCUGCUGACCCACUUGAGCACAAAGUCAUCAGGGUGUGAGAAACACCGAUGCAGUCCUAACCGCUUCAAGAGCACAAGCUCACUGUGCCAUAUCUUCCCCUCAAGUUUUAAGAGGACACAUUGCCAAGUUCAAAGUCUGGGACCUUGAAAACCUCAGUAGCCUUGAUCAAAGCAUCUAAAAAAGUCAACUUAUCAACACCACCUGAAUUAUAAGAGGAUCUCUCCACUUCCCACGAGAGCAAAAAGCAAGAUGGGGAAAAGGUGGCUCUCUGAUAUCCUCCCCCAGAUGUUUAAGCACUGGCCAGCAUCCAUCUGAAGUGUGCAAAAAAAUCUUCUCACUUGGGACAGUUAGGAUUUUCCUUGCAGAGCUGCCCAGCAUCUUCCAAUUGCUUUGUACCUUACAAGAGCAGGGGAUGUAAGUGCCUCUGAAAAAUAGGUCCCUCGUGACUACAGCAAGGUAGAGCAGUGUUUCAUUAACUGCAUUGAGACUUCAGGGCCUUCAUGGGUUUCUACAUCACACAUGCUGGCCCCAAAGUAAUGGCCCAAUAGCAUGGUUAUUGAUUCAGUAUAUAAUCUUUGUCUCACCCCCCAUCUUUUUAUGCCCCCCUAUGUAACUCUUAUCUUCAAUUACAUGCAUCUUUAAGCCAUACACUUUCUAGAGAGUGUUAAAAUUAUCAAGUGAAUUCAGAAUAAGGAGGUGAAAAGAAGCCUUCUGUGACACUAGUAGGGCUGGCAGUACUGAGGGGAGAUACAAUCCCCGGUAUUCUUUGGUAUCGAAGUUAAUUGCAGGCAUUGAGGGUUUAAAGACCUUGUGUUAUUGAUGGGGGUGUGUUAGCAACAGGAGGGAUUGACUCUAACAUUAAACUGGAAUUUAGCAUGUACAGUAGGCUGUCAAGAGAAAGAAGUAAGAACAAAGGAGACUGUUAUUAUCUUUUAUUAUUAUCUUUUAAUACCCCCCCCCAUUUUCCUUCUGUAUGCUCUUUCUCUCAGCCUUCUCUCUUUCAAUAAUUACAAUAAUCAACUUACAAUGAUAACAGAAAUAAUCUCCCGCAAGAUAGCUAAACAAACCACAUGUUAUCUGUACUGAACUGUGCUCACUUACUGUAGGUAUAUCACUUAUGGAAAAGCCAAUAAAAUUUUAAUUAGAAAAGCACGUAGGUUGUCAGUUAAGAUGCAAAAGGGUGUGCAAAUAAAUGUAAAGCGGCCCAUAAAUUGCUUGGUAUUUGAUAGAACAGGUAGGAGGGCAAACCCACCCCAAACAAAACAAAACCAAGCUAAACCCUUGGGGUUGGAGGAGCUCUAUUUAUGUUGCUCUAUACAGAGCACUAAUUGCCAGGGAAUUCAAAAGAAGGGGGAGGGGAGAAUCCUCCCCUGAGCGACAAUCACAUCCACCCACUUCCACCAGCGCUGGUAGCAAGUGAGCAGAAGUUAAUUAAAGAUUUUGCAUCUCACAACCGCAGCGCUGGAUUGAUAGCUCUGGAACCUGAGAUAAACUAAAGCUCUCCCACACUGCAUCGCUAAUACGCCUUCAACCUCGCCCAGGAGGCACCACCUCGAGGGAUUAGAUGUUUGGUUUGCUUGGUGUACUCAGGGCCUGGCCUCUGCUAAGACUGAAGGAGGACGGAUGGAUGCCAACUGGAAGGUGGGUGCUCGUCUCACAGGAGCAGGUCUGUAGGUAAUUAGCUAGGCAGGAGUGACAGUGGCUUGAGAAGACUCCAGUAUCUCCAUGCAAGUUGUUCUAAACACUCAGAGCAUAUCACAUAAAGGCUAAUUGGCACAGAAACCACAAAAGAAAGAAUUUCAGCACAAGCGCCGUGAAUGUGAAACAGUUCAACAGCUGACCAAAGCGAAGGCUUUGCUGGAGUCAAUUGCAAUAUGAAGAAAGUCUUCUACACCAGGCAGUGCCCUGAGUUUGCCUUGCUCCCUGUAGUCUUUCUCUCUCAUGAUUCUGGUGUGAGAUCUGCCUCAGUCUGCUUCAACUGUUACUUUGAAGACAGAAGCACAUAUCCUUCACCCAGACUUCUCCUCCAAGCUCCGUUGCUGCAGGAUAUCACUGGUAGGAAAUUUCAGCAGUGAUGGGAAGAUCAGCAUGGGUCAGUGGUUAUGCUUUGCACAGUUCUCCCUCGGUGAGUGAGCAACUGCCUCCUGGGAGUGUAUUCUAGUGCAGAGAGAUCCCUUUGGAUAACAGCACGAUAAAUGCAUUUGUGGUGUGAGGACAUCCUGAGACAGCAUCUGAAAUUCCUUUUUCUUGAUUGCUUCAGGUGUAAUGGGUGGAAAUUCCCUGCACAGACUGCCAAAGACUGCACUUUUGUGUGGAGAGAAGCAAGGCCAUGAGGUGGAAGGACUGAUUUCCUCUGGGAGCACAUUGCAGUGGUACACCCGCUGUCAUAGGACACUGCAUUUUGAAGCUAUUAUAAAUAGAUAAUGCUUACAUAUUGCUCUUUACAUUUACAGUGACCCACAGGCCAUACCUAAUUACACAAUUGCAGCAGCCUUGCAAGGCAGGGCAGUUAGGAUCAUCUUCCUUUAGAAACGAAAUGGAGGCAAUGGUAUUAAAAUGCAUGACCAGGGUUAGAGAUGAGGGGUCAGUGAGAAAGCCAAGGUUGAAACAUCAGACUUACAUAUUCCCAGUCCUGUGCUUAACAUGUGUCUCAGGCAAAGAAAUUGAUGUUAAUGAUGUACUAACCCCUUUCAUCUGAAGAUCUCAAAAUGUUUUAUGUCCUGAUUUGCUUUCCCCAUGCAGCUUUAUUGUAGGCUUAUGGUUGUCCAGAGGGGAAAAGUGCAGGCUUCUCUGUGCUGUGUGUGUAUCCGUAUGGCCUCCAGCUCCCCGCAGGGAGGAGGUGGCAGGGGUUAGUCACUGCUCUCACUGGGGAGGGAGCUGGGCAACUGCGACAAAGGAACAACAGAGCCAUUGGAGCCAUUGAGGGAAGGUGGGCUGUAAGAAGGAGGCUGGGUAUGGGUUGGUUGGCAGCAUGUAGCAUGACAGGGGCUCAUAUGACAGCCCCUGGGCAGGGCUGGAGCUAGGCCAUGUGGUAUGGGGUCAUUAAGAUGCAAAGGGUGUCUGGAGACAUUGCAGGAGGGUCCGUGCAGGGAGGAGACUGCAGGACACAAGGUAGAUAGGCACUCUUCAGGGAGAGCUGGAUACAGGAGUUGGAUAAGAGGAAAAUAAAAGAUCAUCCUCGUUGUUUUCCUUCA